UACGUAGGGGGCAAGCGUUGUCCGGAAUCAUUGGGCGUAAAGCGCGUGUAGGCGGCUCGAUAAGUCUGCUGUGAAAGUCCAGGGCUCAACCCUGGGAUGCCGGUGGAUACUGUCGAGCUCGAGUCCGGAAGAGGAGUGUGGAAUUCCUGGUGUAGCGGUGAAAUGCGCAGAUAUCAGGAGGAACACCAAUGGCGAAGGCAGCACUCUGGGACGUGACUGACGCUGAGACGCGAAAGCCAGGGGAGCGAACGGG
rnacentral:rRNA from 1 species